rnacentral:rRNA from 1 species
GAGUGGCGAACUGGUGAGUAACACGUGGGAAACCUGCCCAGAAGCGGGGGAUAACACCUGGAAACAGAUGCUAAUACCGCAUAACAACUUGGACCGCAUGGUCCGAGCUUGAAAGAUGGCUUCGGCUAUCACUUUUGGAUGGUCCCGCGGCGUAUUAGCUAGAUGGUGGGGUAACGGCUCACCAUGGCAAUGAUACGUAGCCGACCUGAGAGGGUAAUCGGCCACAUUGGGACUGAGACACGGCCCAAACUCCUACGGGAGGCAGCAGUAGGGAAUCUUCCACAAUGGACGAAAGUCUGAUGGAGCAACGCCGCGUGAGUGAAGAAGGGUUUCGGCUCGUAAAACUCUGUUGUUAAAGAAGAACAUAUCUGAGAGUAACUGUUCAGGUAUUGACGGUAUUUAACCAGAAAGCCACGGCUAACUACGUGCCAGCAGCCGCGGUAAUACGUAGGUGGCAAGCGUUGUCCGGAUUUAUUGGGCGUAAAGCGAGCGCAGGCGGUUUUUUAAGUCUGAUGUGAAAGCCUUCGGCUCAACCGAAGAAGUGCAUCGGAAACUGGGAAACUUGAGUGCAGAAGAGGACAGUGGAACUCCAUGUGUAGCGGUGAAAUGCGUAGAUAUAUGGAAGAACACCAGUGGCGAAAGCGGCUGUCUGGUCUGUAACUGACGCUGAGGCUCGAAAGUAUGGGUAGCAAACAGGAUUAGAUACCCUGGUAGUCCAUACCGUAAACGAUGAAUGCUAAGUGUUGGAGGGUUUCCGCCCUUCAGUGCUGCAGCUAACGCAUUAAGCAUUCCGCCUGGGGAGUACGGCCGCAAGGCUGAAACUCAAAGGAAUUGACGGGGGCCCGCACAAGCGGUGGAGCAUGUGGUUUAAUUCGAAGCUACGCGAAGAACCUUACCAGGUCUUGACAUACUAUGCAAAUCUAAGAGAUUAGACGUUCCCUUCGGGGACAUGGAUACAGGUGGUGCAUGGUUGUCGUCAGCUCGUGUCGUGAGAUGUUGGGUUAAGUCCCGCAACGAGCGCAACCCUUAUUAUCAGUUGCCAGCAUUAAGUUGGGCACUCUGGUGAGACUGCCGGUGACAAACCGGAGGAAGGUGGGGAUGACGUCAAAUCAUCAUGCCCCUUAUGACCUGGGCUACACACGUGCUACAAUGGAUGGUACAACGAGUUGCGAACUCGCGAGAGUAAGCUAAUCUCUUAAAGCCAUUCUCAGUUCGGAUUGUAGGCUGCAACUCGCCUACAUGAAGUCGGAAUCGCUAGUAAUCGCGGAUCAGCAUGCCGCGGUGAAUACGUUCCCGGGCCUUGUACACACCGCCCGUCACACCAUGAGAGUUUGUAACACCC